CGUGUAGGCGGGUCGGUACGUCGGUCGCUGAAAUCCCCCGGCUCAACCGGGGAAGUGGCGCCGAUACGGCCGGCCUGGAGGGACGUAGGGGGGGCUGGAACUUCCGGUGGAGCGGUGAAAUGCGUUGAGAUCGGAAGGAACGCCCGUGGCGAAAGCGAGCCCCUGGACGUCUACUGACGCUGAGACGCGAAAGCCAGGGGAGCGAACG
rnacentral:rRNA from 1 species